GUUCCCUGUUCAUCUGGUAACUGCUGCCAGGUGGGAGGAAAGCAAGGACACCUAAAAUGAAAAGCUUUGUGCCUGCCGGGGUGAGCAGGCAGAUCUGGGGCCUUCCUUCCUUUCCGUGGGGCCAGUAAGUCAUCACCCACAGAACCUUUUCGGAGAAGACUUUCAAGAGGUAUGUGUGCCACCAGACAGCUGUUUUUACACAAAACUAACAGACAGUUCACCUGCUUUAGAAAAGAAUUCUCCCCCGGGACCUCAACAGCAACUUUAGUUCCCUUUAAAACAAAUGACUUCUAAAUAGGGCAGGAGCCGGGGGCUGGGGCUGCCCUCUGGAGCCUCCGCACCCCAAGGAGCCGCUCUCUGAGCUGUUCGCACUCAGCUGCUUGAGUGUGACCUUGCUAUUUUUAAAACCUGAGAGUCUUGAACAGCUUCAGUCUUCUUCCUCAGUCUUGACUGGAAGUCACAAAUAGCCCAGAAUAUUAGUAAUAAAAUCUUGUGGAUUUCAUCAUGAGACCUUGCAGUGGGCGGCAUCCAGACCUCUUCUCCCUUAGGACUGACCGACAGCAGAGGCAGCCGUCCUGGGAGGAGAUCCCUUCCAGAAACAGCAAACCCGGGUCUGCAGAGUCCCCACACUGAAGGCUUGGAACUCUACCUGGAAGAUCGUCUGGGGGAAAGUGAGGAGAGGCUGAAAGAAAAGGCCAGCAUGACACCACAGCUUGAGAAAACUGAUUGCUUCCUCCAGCGUGGGGCUGCUGGACAGAUCCUAUUGUGGCCUUCCAAAGGUCAGCCAGCCUUUCUCAGGACUCCAGGCCUCAUGACUAAUACCAGACAGAAGCACCGUCCUCCAGGGCGCCCUCUAGCCUCCGCUUCUCUUUGUGCUUGCUCAGCUACUGAAUUCACUGUGCUACUAUACCAGCGGUUCUCAACCUUCCUGGAUGGGUAAAACAAGUGGAAUAAAGACCAUGCCAUCCGCAAGAAUAACUGAUGCUACGUGCUUUGAAAAGGAGACAGUUCUGCAAGUGAGGGGAUCUCCACAUGCUCAGCUAACAGGAAACACAACCUUCUCUCAAAUUUCCCAUCAAAGCAUGGUCUCCUAGCAACAGCCACUGAAAGGCAGGAUCUUACUGGAGCUCAGACUGGACUCAAACCUGAGGUCUUCCC